UACGGAGGAUGCAAGCGUUAUCCGGAAUUAUUGGGCGUAAAGCAUCCGUAGGUGGCUAGUCAAGUCUGCGGUCAAAGACUGGGGCUUAACCCUGGAAAGGCCGUGGAAACUGACGAGCUAGAGUGCAGUAGGGGUAGAGGGAAUUCCCGGUGUAGCGGUGAAAUGCGUAGAGCUCGGGAAGAACAUCGGUGGCGAAAGCGCUCUACUGGACUGCAACUGACACUCAGGGACGAAAGCUAGGGGAGCGAAUGGG
rnacentral:rRNA from 1 species